AGGGUUCGAUUCUGGCUCAGAUUGAACUGGCGGGAUGUGCUUUUACAUGCAAGUCUAGACGGCGGCACGGACUUCGGUCUGGUGGCGAGUGGCAGGCCAGGUAAUGUAUCGAACGUGCCUGAUGACGGGGGAUAACUACGCGUAGCUUGUUUUAUACGCCUGAAGCAGAGGCCUUCCGGGCCUCGCACUAUUAGAACGUCCGAUAUCCAGUUAGCUAGUUGGUGGGGUAACGGCUCACCAGAGCGACGAUCGUGUGGUUUGAGGACCACACUGGGACAGACUCUGGGAGGCAGCAGUGGGAAUUUUGGACAAUGGGGAAACCCUGAUCCAGCCAUCCGCGUACGAUGAAGGCCUUCGGGUUGUAAAGCACUUUUGGCAGGAAAAAACGGCACGGGAUAAUACCCCGUGCAACUGAUACCUGCAGAAUAAGCACCGGCCAAUACAUUAUAGCAGCCGCGGUAAUACGGCAGUGCAAGCGUUAAUCAGAUUACUGGGCGUAAAGCGUGCGCAGGCGGUUCGGAAAGAAGAUGUGAAAUCAAAUAACUUUGGAACUGCAUUUUAACUACCGAGCUAGAGUGUGUCAGAGGGAGGUGGAAUUCCGUGUAGCAGUGAAAUGCGUAGAUAUGCGGAGAACACCGAUGGCGAGGCAGCCUCCUGGGAUAACACUGACGCUCGUGCACACGAAAAGCGUGGGGAGCAAACAGGAUUAGAUACCCUGGUAGUCACACAAACGAUGUCAGCUAGCUAUUUGGAGCCUUCGGCAAGUGGCCAAUAACGCGCGUGAAAGGAUUGACCGCCUGGGGAAGUACGGUCGCAAGAUUAAAACUCAAAGGAAUUGACGAGGACCCGCACAAGCGGUGGAUGGACAAUAUUCGAUGCAACACAUAGCAGCAACACCUACCCUUGACAUGUCUGGAAUCCCGAAGAGAUUUGGGAGUGCUCGCAAAGAACGGAACAGGUGCUGCAUGGCUGUCGUCAGCUCGUGUCGUGAGAUGUUGGGUUAAGUCCGCAACGAGCCCUUGUCGUGCUUAUACGAAGGGCACUCUAAUGAGAUUUGCCAUUAUGUAAACCGGAGGAAGGGUGGGGAUGACGUCAAAUCCUCAUGGCCCUUAUGUUGGGGAGCUUCACACGUCAUACAAUGGUCGGGACAGGGGUCGCCAACCCGCGAAGGCCAAUCCCAGAAAUGAUCCGGAUCGCAGUCUGCAACUCGACUGCGCAUUGAAGUCGGAAUCGCUAGUAAUCGCGGAUCAGCAUGUCGCGGUGAAUACGUUCGGGUCUUGUACACACCGCCCGUCACACCACAGGGUUACCAAGUAGUUAGCUAACAGAGGCGUUACCGCAUUGAUUCAUGACUGGGGUGAAGUCGCUCAAAGGUG
rnacentral:rRNA from 1 species